rnacentral:tRNA from 2 species
GUUCACGUAGUUUACUUAAAAUACAACACUGAAGCUGUUGAGACGGACCCUAAAAAGUCCCGAGGACA